ACAGCAAUACAUAUGGUCCUAC
rnacentral:siRNA from 1 species